rnacentral:tRNA from 2 species
GGAAUAGUACCCAAGUGGUUGAAGGGGAAGGCUUGGAAAGCUUUUAGGUAGGUAACACUGCGCGCAGGUUCGAAUCCUGUCUAUUCCGCCA